GGUCAAGUUAUUAAGGGUGCAGGGCGGAUGCCUUGGCACUAGGAGCCGAUGAAGGACGUGAUAAGCUGCGAUAAGCUUCGGGGAGUUGCACGUAAACUUUGAUCCGAAGAUUUCCGAAUGAGGAAACUCACUUAGAGUAAUGUCUAAGUAUCAUUAAGUGAAUACAUAGCUUAAUGAGGGGAACUCAGGGAACUGAAACAUCUAAGUACCUGAAGGAAGAGAAAGAAAUUCGAUUCCGUAAGUAGCGGCGAGCGAACGCGGAUUAGCCCAAACCAAUAAAGUUUUCUUUAUUGGGGUUGCGGACAUAUCAUAACGAAGAGGUAUCGUAAUUGAAGAGGUUUGGAAAGACCCACCACAGAAGGUAAUAGUCCUGUAUGUUAAACGAGAAGACUUUAGAUAUGAUCCAGAGUACCACGGGACACGUGAAACCCUGUGGGAAGCAGGAGGGACCACCCUCCAAGGCUAAAUACUACCUAGUGACCGAUAGCGUAUAGUACCGUGAGGGAAAGGUGAAAAGAACCCCGGGAGGGGAGUGAAAUAGAACCUGAAACCCUGCACUUACAAGCUGUGGAAGCACAUUUCUUGUGUGACCGCGUACUUUUUGUAGAACGGGCCAACGAGUUACGUUAAGUAGCAAGGUUAAGCACUUAAGGUGCGGAGCCGUAGCGAAAGCGAGUUUUAACUGAGCGUUCAGUUACUUGACGUAGACCCGAAACCGGGCGACCUACCCAUGAGCAGGAUGAAGCGAAAGUAAAAUUUCGUGGAGGUCCGAACCCACGAGCGUUGAAAAGCUCGGGGAUGACUUGUGGGUAGCGGUGAAAUUCCAAUCGAGCCCGGAGAUAGCUGGUUCUCCCCGAAAUAGCUUUAGGGCUAGCCUCAAGGUGAGAGAUACGGAGGUAGAGCACUGAAUGUCCUAGGGGGUAUUGCACCUACCGAAGACUAUCAAACUCCGAAUGCCGUCAUCUUAUACUUGGGAGUCAGACUGUGGGUGAUAAGAUUCAUAGUCGAAAGGGCAACAGCCCAGAUCGUCAGCUAAGGUCCCUAAAUGUAAGUUAAGUGGUAAAGGAUGUGGGAUUGCACAGACAACCAGGAUGUUGGCUUAGAAGCAGCCACUCAUUCAAAGAGUGCGUAAUAGCUCACUGGUCGAGUGAUCCUGCGCCGAAGAUUUCCGGGGCUAAAACUUACUACCGAAGCUACGGCAUCAGUAAUGAUGGGUAGGGGAGCUUCCCAUACGGGUUGAAGCAUGACCGUAAGGACAUGUGGACAGUAUGGGAGUGAGAAUGUUGGCAUGAGUAGCGAGAUGUGGGUGAGAAUCCCACAGGCCGUAAACCCAAGGUUUCCAGGGGAAGGUUCGUCCGCCCUGGGUUAGUCGGGACCUAAGCUGAGGCCGAAAGGCGUAGGUGAUGGACAACAGGUUGAUAUUCCUGUACUACCGAUAACCGUUUGAGAGAAGGGAUGACACAGUAGGAUAAGCUAAGCACACUGUUGGUUAUGUGUGCCCAAGCAUUGAGGCAGUCAAAGUAGGCAAAUCCGCUUUGAUAAUGCUGGGAUGUGAUGGGGAGCGAAAUUUAGUAGCGAAGUAGCUGAUUUCACACUGUCAAGAAAAGUCUCUAUCGAGGUUAAAGGUACCCGUACCGCAAACCGACACAGGUGGGUGAGGAGAGUAUCCUAAGGCCAGCGAGAGAACUGUUGUUAAGGAACUCGGCAAAAUGACCCCGUAACUUAGGGAUAAGGGGUGCCACCAUCAGGUGGCCGCAGAGAAUAGGCCCAAGCGACUGUUUACCAAAAACAUAGGUUUCUGCUAAGUCGCAAGACGAUGUAUAGGAGCUGACGCCUGCCCGGUGCUGGAAGGUUAAGGGGAUCUGUUAGAGCAAUCGAAGCAGUGAACUUAAGCCCCAGUAAACGGCGGCCGUAACUAUAACGGUCCUAAGGUAGCGAAAUUCCUUGUCGGGUAAGUUCCGACCCGCACGAAAGGCGUAACGAUUUGGGCACUGUCUCAACAACAGACUCGGUGAAAUUGUAAUUCCGGUGAAGAUGCCGGAUACCUGCGACAGGACGGAAAGACCCCAUGGAGCUUUACUGUAGCUUGACAUUGGGUCUUGGUACUACAUGUACAGGAUAGGUGGGAGGCUUUGAAACCAGGACGCCAGUUUUGGCGGAGCCAUCCUUGGGAUACCACCCUUGUAGUACUGGGACUCUAACCAUAGGCCAUGAAUCUGGUCUUGGGACACUGUCAGGUGGGCAGUUUGACUGGGGCGGUCGCCUCCCAAAAGGUAACGGAGGCGCUCAAAGGUUCUCUCAGUACGGUCGGAAAUCGUACGUAGAGUGUAAAGGCAAAAGAGAGCUUGAUUGCAAGACAUACAGGUCGAGCAAGGAUGAAAAUCGGACUUAGUGAUCCGGUGGUUCUGCGUGGAAGGGCCAUCGCUCAACGGAUAAAAGCUACCCUGGGGAUAACAGGCUUAUCUCCCCCAAGAGUCCACAUCGACGGGGAGGUUUGGCACCUCGAUGUCGGCUCAUCACAUCCUGGGGCUGUAGUAGGUCCCAAGGGUUGGGCUGUUCGCCCAUUAAAGUGGUACGCGAGCUGGGUUCAGAACGUCGUGAGACAGUUCGGUCCCUAUCCGUCGCAGGCGUAGGAAAUUUGAGAAGACCUGUCCUUAGUACGAGAGGACCGGGAUGGACGUACCUCUGGUGUACCAGUUGUCCUGCCAAGGGCAUGGCUGGGUAGCUAUGUA
rnacentral:rRNA from 1 species